UGUCGUGGAAUAUUUAUCUGGGUAAGGAAGGGAGUAGCCUCAGGACAGAAGCAACUCCCUUCCUACAUCUCUACCGGUUCGCUGGAUUUCUACCCAUCUAUAUUUAUCUGGGACUGGCAGCGAAUCUCGUUCAUCAGUGCCAAUCACACACCGUGAAGAUGAAACAGUUGCGAGGCAAGGACUCCGGGAGAGCAACCAAGAUAAUCUCGCCCGGAGAAUUACGUCAGAGAGAGAGCCGCUUCCGUCAUGACUGCGCGCGGCCCGCGAAAGUAACAGCGGCUAAAUAACCGCUGCCACCUCCGAGUUGAGUCGCUCUUUCUGCCCCACUGACCCCACCUGAUGGCGUUUUGGAAGUGUCUCUUGGGUCACGGGGAAUCUAAGUUUAGAGAGGCGGGCGUCCCCGAACGGAGCUGAGCUCUGGUAAGCCGCGUGUUGGCCGUGCGCUACACCGAGGGUAGGUGCGGUGUAUCACACGCGUGCUUACCGGGCGCAUUCAUACGAGCGACAUCCUCACGGAAUAUUCUAGUGAAAGAAAAGAGAGAGAGAGAGA